AAAGCCACGGCUAAUUACGUGCCAGCAGCCGCGGUAAUAAGUAGGUGGCAAGCGUUGUCCGGAUUUAUUGGGCGUAAAGCGAGCGCGGGCGGUUUUUUAAGUCUGAUGUGAAAGCCCCCGGCUCAACCGGGGAGGGUCAUCGGAAACUGGGAGACUUGAGUGCAGAAGAGGAGAGUGGAAUUCCAUGUGUAGCGGUGAAAUGCGUAGAUAUAUGGAGGAACACCAGUGGCGAAGGCGGCUCUCUGGUCUGUAACUGACGCUGAGGCUCGAAAGCGUGGGGAGCGAACAGGAUUAGAUACCCUGGUAGUCCACGCCGUAAACGAUGAGUGCUAAGUGUUGGAGGGUUUCCGCCCUUCAGUGCUGCAGCAAACGCAUUAAGCACUCCGCCUGGGGAGUACGACCGCAAGGUUGAAACUCAAAGGAAUUGACGGGGGCCCGCACAAGCGGUGGAGCAUGUGGUUUAAUUCGAAGCAACGCGAAGAACCUUACCAGGUCUUGACAUCCUUUGACCACUCUAGAGAUAGAGCUUCCCCUUCGGGGGCAAAGUGACAGGUGGUGCAUGGUUGUCGUCAGCUCGUGUCGUGAGAUGUUGGGUUAAGUCCCGCAACGAGCGCAACCCUUAUUGUUAGUUGCCAUCAUUUAGUUGGGCACUCUAGCGAGACUGCCGGUGACAAACCGGAGGAAGGUGGGGAGGACGUCAAAUCAUCAUGCCCCUUAUGACCUGGGCUACACACGUGUUACAAUGGGAAGUACAACGAGUUGGGAAGUCGCGAGGUUAAGCUAAUUUCUUAAAGAUUCUCUCAGUUCGGAUUGUAGGCUGCA
rnacentral:rRNA from 1 species